rnacentral:rRNA from 1 species
GAUGAACGCUGGCGGCGUGCCUAAUACAUGCCAGUCGAGCGAACGGACGAGAAGCUUGCUUCCCUGAUGUUAGCGGCGGACGGGUGAGUAACACGUGGAUAACCUACCUAUAAGACUGGGAUGACUUCGGGAAACCGGAUCUCAUACCGGAUAAUAUUGUGAACCGCAUGGUUCAAAAGUGAAAGACGGUCUUGCUGGCCCGUAUAGAUGGAACCGCGCUGCAUUAGCUAGUUGGUAAGGUAACGGCUUACCAAGGCAACGAUGCGUAGCCGACCUGAGAGGGUGAUCGGCCACACUGGAACUGAGACACGGUCCAGACUCCUACGGGAGGCAGCAGUAGGGAAUCUUCGGCAAUGGGCGCAAGCCUGACGGAGCAACGCCGCGUGAGGGAUGAAGGUCUUCGGAUCGUAAAACUCUGUUAUUAGGGAAGAACACAUGUGUAAGUAACUGUGCACAUCUUGACGGUACCUAAUCAGAAAGCCACGGCUAACUACGUG